rnacentral:rRNA from 1 species
GAUGAACGCUGGCGGCGUGCCUAAUACAUGCAAGUCGAGCGAACAGACGGAGGUGCUUGCACCUCCUGACGUUAGCGGCGGACGGGUGAGUAACACGUGGGUAACCUACCUAUAAGACUGGGAUAACUUCGGGAAACCGGAGCUAAUACCGGAUAAUAUUUAGCUUCGCAUGAAGCAAUAGUGAAAGACGGUUUUGCUGUCACUUAUAGAUGGACCCGCGGUGUAUUAGCUAGUUGGUGAGGUAACGGCUCACCAAGGCAACGAUACAUAGCCGACCUGAGAGGGUGAUCGGCCACACUGGGACUGAGACACGGCCCAGACUCCUACGGGAGGCAGCAGUAGGGAAUCUUCCGCAAUGGACGAAAGUCUGACGGAGCAACGCCGCGUGAGUGAAGAAGGUUUUCGGAUCGUAAAACUCUGUUGUAAGGGAAGAACAAGUACGUUAGUAACUGAACGUACCUUGACGGUACCUUACCAGAAAGCCACGGCUAACUACGUGCCAGCCGCCGCGGUAACAC